GACUCUGUAGCUCAGUUGGUUAUAGAGCGCUGCACCGGAAUCACAGGGCCGCAGUUUCGAUUCCUGCCAGAGCG
rnacentral:tRNA from 1 species